GCCGGAAUUUGUCCACCUAUAUCAUCGGCUGGAAGUAGUCGAGUAUCCGUAACAGCAAAAUUUUAGCGGACAUAUUUCUAAGUUCCCUUUUUUUAAAACUGGCUUCCCCCUCCAGUUCAUAUUGCUCCCAGCUGCCUGUGUUGUAGAAGUUUUGUUGCCUUAAGACACAGAGUGUCUCAAAGUAUACAGGUAAAAAGGUAAAGGAAUUUUAGUUUCUAAAUGUAAGACAAUAUUCUAACAUUAUUUCACGAAUCGAAUAAAUAUAUAUUUUCAACGAAUUAUUAUUCUAUUAAUAGCCGGAACGUGAUUCUGUUGACGUUUCUGAUACUGAAUUGAGUGCGCCUAAAUGUCAAAAAAACAACUAUUGUUCCCAACUUUUAAUUUUUCCGCGAGGUGACCGCGUAUCACGUAAAACUGCUGUAAAGAAAAAAAGACAAUUCCCUCUUUAGGGGCUGUUUACACGAUCCCACUACGUAUUUUGCCGCAACAAGAUGAGCCUAUGAGAGGCAGGAUAAUUUUGACGCAUUAACUGAAAUAACUGUUCAUGAUUCAGCAAAACUGUAUUAUUUUCCUUGUGAUAGCUGUAUAAUUAUUGAAAAAGAAAGGCUGUUCAUGCAGCAAUUACAAUCUUCUCGAUCUACGAGAUCUUUUCGCCAACAUUUCAGUUGCAUUAGUCCUCACAUUGACAUCCAGACUACGCUCACGGAACAUAAAAUCAAG
rnacentral:lncRNA from 1 species